rnacentral:misc_RNA from 1 species
UUGGGCAAACUUGAGGACAGCUCUUUGACCAUAAGGCCUUGCAGACUGGACUAUAAUGUCCUGUGGGUUCUCAAUGGCCACAAUGACCCUAGCAGCCAGUUGAAGUUUCUCCCAUGUCUUUCCAAGAUUGAUGAUAUAAAUUCCUGAGGGAUAAAUACCAAGUAAUUGAAUUCACACUAACAUCAAAAAAAUCUUGACAAUAUUUUUAAACUUCAGAACUCAGAUAAGAACGCCAAUGACAAGUGAGACAGGGACUUAGAGCUCUGGCAUGUGAAAUCAUAAUGCAUGUACCCAAUUAAUCUAUAAGAAUCUCUGAAAUGACCAAAAACAAAUUAUACAUGGGUGUUAAUGUUACAUAUAGAUAAAUGCAUAUUAAUUCCAAAUAAAAGCGCCAUUUCCACACGCAUCAAUUUAAGUGAAUAGGAACUACUUGAAACAAACCAAACUCACUUGCAUGUUAUUCAAAUAACACAAUUACGGAUACAGAUAGUAGCGUGAGACGAUCAAAUAGUUCCAUUUUCUUUUUGAUUCUGUAAACAUUACACCGAAAACUGAAAGCAAGACUCCCAAAUAUACAAUCAAAUGCUUUACGUCAAAUCACCUACAAAUUCACAUCAUCCAAAGUAAAAUACAAAGCUCAAAAUUAGUAUUAAUAUUAUAGUCUAAUGCGACUGAACGUAAUCCGUAUACCACAGAUCUGAGAUCUCCGGAUAAGCUAAUCCAAUGUCAAUCACAUUAAACCAUAAAUCAGAGUUCUCCAAAAUCAAAUUAGGGUCCAUUUACUAUGGACAACCAAAUACGAGCAUUUAGGCAAUAAAAAUUCACAAAUACAUAUAUAUAUGAAGGUAAGAGACAGAAUAUACCAUCAUUGCGUCGCUUGAAAACAUAACGUUCCAUCUGGAAGUCA